rnacentral:rRNA from 1 species
GACGAACCGUGCGAACGUUAUUCGGAAUCACUGGGCUUAAAGCGCGUGUAGGCGGGCCGGCACGUCGGUCGUUGAAAUCCCCGGCUCAACCGGGGAAGCGGCGCCGAUACGACCGGCCUCGAGGGACGUAGGGGGGCUGGAACUUCCGGUGGAGCGGUGAAAUGCGUUGAGAUCGGAAGGAACGCCCGUGGCGAAAGCGAGCCCUGGACGUCUACUGACGCUGAGACGCGAAAGCCAGG